AUCAUUCUGGCAGAUAAAGUGCAGUAAAUUUAGAAUUUAAACAUACGAAAAGUGAAUGAUA
rnacentral:tRNA from 1 species